GCCGGAUAAUGAAGGGCUGGACAGGGUGAGCCUGAGCUCUCAGACAGUCUGCCAUUCUGAACGGGGAGAAGCAGAAGCAGUCAACAUUCUGGCUGUUCGUGGCUUUUAUUAGCUCUUCCUCUCUCAUGGCCAAGCAGAGAAGGCCCCCAGCUUUCUGUGUGGGUGUUUCAUGAAUGCAGUGUGGUGACUAAAAGCGAGGUGCUCCUCUCCUGUUGUUUUGAAGGCUGCUGUCUAGUUGAGUUGCUUCUGUAGCAGGAACAGUCAGUGUCAUUAGUCCCCCCUGCACGGUGUGGGCUGAAGAACACGGAACUGACUUGAUGGAUCACGUUGCCACGUCAGGACGGAGCCUCCGGAGGCAGGAGCAUAUCCAGGAAUCUUCUCGAGGCUGCAUGACCUUUGGUGUCACAACAGAUUGCAUGCAGAAGCAGAGGCAAGAAUCUUGCUGUCCUUGGUUAAGGAAUGUAUUAGAGAGAUUUGAAAAAACCUACAACAAGGCUACUCCUCUCACCAUAUGUUUUUGUUUUGGAAAAUAUAAUUCAUAAAAUGUGUUGUUAAUGUUAAAAUAUACUGGAAUUAUUAGUACUACUUAAAUGAAUAGAUUGUCAAGAUAUCAGUUUUAUAGCUGAUAUUGAUUGAUUUGGUUUAGAUCUUAAAUGCCCAAUCAAGGUCUACUUGCUAAAGGCUGAGUCCUCAGCCUAUGCUGCUUUUGGGAGAUGACAGACCAUAAGGAGGUGUGGUCUAGUAGGAGGAAGUUAGGUCUUCCAGGGGGCAUGCCCUGGAAGGGAUAUGGGACCCUGGCCUCUUCUUUUCUCUCUCUUUGCUUCCUGGCCACCAUGAGGUGAGCAGUUUUGCUCCACCACACACUCGCCACCAUGAUGUUCUGCCUCAUCAUGGGACCAAAGCGAUAAGGCCAACAACCACGAACUGAAACUGUCUUCCAAAAUAAACGUUCCUUCCUUUUAAGUUGAUUAUCUUGGGUAUUUUGCAACAGUGAUGGAAACACAUUCAUAGACAGGUAGCACCAGCAUGACCUGAACUCUUUGGUGUCUUCAAUAAUUUUCAAGAGUCUAGAAGGAUCUUGAGACCAUCAGGUUGAGAACACUGCAUGAAAUCAAUACUUCUGUGUUCUUUCUUCUGCCUUCUUUUAUUUGUUUUUGCAAUGUUGGGAUCAAACUCAGGGCCUCAUGUUGUGCACGCUAGGAGACACUCUACCACUGACCCUCAGCCCUUCUUCCUUCUCGACUACUCUGCAGGUGCGAGGAGUGACUCAGUUAGUUAGGGAAAGCGGGAGAGGAACUGUGGGCAGGCUUAGCCCUUUCCUCUCACCUUUCAUUCAGGAGACCCUGAGGUCUCAGACUGAAGACAGGCCUGUCCGUGUUGUCUUCUCAUCAGCAUUUGGCCAGGGAUCAGCUGGGAGCCUACUGGCUCUGUUUUGUGGUAAGUCUUGAGCUGGCCCAUUACGGUUUGCAACUAUGGCCAAGUAAAUCUGUUUAAUGUAGGGCUGAUAGGCACUUUAUCUAAUUCAGGCAGAAUUGGCCCUGUUUUCUAAUAACCAAGGAGACCUUUAACUUUUCAAAAAAGCUUUGUUUUGAAAUGAUUUUAGACUUAUGGAAAAGUUGAAAAAGUCGUUGAGUUACUGUGUAUUCUUUGACCAGCUUUCCCCGAUGUCAUGCCACUACAGGAUCAAGAGAGGAAGCUGGAGAUUCAGAACCUGUUAAAACGAACUCGUCUCUGGGCCCCAUUUGACUCUCAUUAGUUUUCUACUUGUCUUUUUCAAGAUCCCACAUGGAGGGUGAUGCUUUGAUUUCCCAUUGCCUGGCUCACAGAACUGCAUCUUAACUGGUGUGCACUCAGAGGAAAAGGGAGGUGCUCUCAGGAUGACUUGGCUCCCAUCACCUCCAAGUCCUGAAUUUUCCAGCAUUCUGUGAUGCGAGGGAGUUCGUGCCCCCUCUCUUCAUCCCCACACUCCUCACUCUGGUACUUUCUAGACUCCUCUCUUGGAAACUCCACGACCACAAGUUCUCCUGUUUUCUGUCUUCCAGAGUUCUGCUGCUUCCCCUCCUCUCUGCUCUCUGACUCCCUGGGAUUCGAGAGGCUUCCAUUUUCUCUCCUCAUGCAGGGGUUAGUUGCUUAGCCUCCCCCCAUGCUUUAAGAACUUGGGAGUUAAUGUAUUUUUUUAUUCCUCUAAUAUUAAUAGUGCUCAGAUUUCAGGAAAAAGCGGAGAUAAAUGAAUAGAUUGAAUCUCCUUGUUUAAUUAGAAAUCUGGCCCCUGAUGUAUAAUCUUCCAUUUGUAGAUUAUUUUUGCUUUUCAAUGGAGAAUCUUAUUUAAAUACCCUCAAUGAGUAUUGUACUUAAACAAAGCUUUCUAGGUACUCUUAAAGCAAAUAAAGACUACGGAAAAAUUAGGGAAAAAUUGGGUUAGCUUCUUCACUAAUUUUGCAGGUAUAUCUAUUUAUUGUAGUCAAACACCUCUGGGCCCUGAUUAGAAUGCUUUUUGUAACUUAUCUUGCUUUUCUUAGCUUGGAAUCAGAAGCCUGUUAAAGUCCAGGGAUUUGCUGUGUCCUUUGGGCUUGGCUGGCGUCAUGGUACCUCCAGCUACUCACUGCGCAGAGAACCAACAGCCGGCCUCUCCCAGGCUCCUUUCAGUUUCUGAAGGAGGAAUUGCUGCAAGGAAGAAAUACUGUCUUAUCUCUGUUUCCCAGCUCCCAACUUUCUUCUAUCAUUUUCUCAUAUUCAACUGAAAAGAAAGAGGGAAUUUACAGCUAUAUAAUACUUUUUUGCACUGAAAGUAUUUGAUUUUUCCUUGAUUACUUUCCCCUGAAUUAAAAAGGAAUUAAAAUGGUUCUUGUUUAUAGAAGAAGAGCAUAUCAUUCUCUUCCCGUCUCUUAUUUAAAACUUUUACCUUGGUACAUGUCCCCUCCUUGUCUUCAGCUUGACCUAGUGGUUGGUUAUGUGUCCAUGGAGAUGUGUUGGGUUGUUGGUUGGGGAUCCAGAAGCUGCAUUGCUGACUUCCUCUGGCCAAGGGGGAGAGCGAGGACUGGGAGUGGGCGUGGGAAGUAGAGAAGAGGUCUCUGGGACAUCACGGACACCACUGCUUCAUUUCUUAAAAAUAAAGACCAGAAGCACAUGUGACAGAUUAUGAAUAUUGGUUCAUCUUGGGAAUGGGAAUGGGUGUUUAUAAUAUCAUUUGUACUCCUUAUUUAUUUAUUUAUUUUAAAGGCAAAUUUAUUUAUUUAUUCUUUAAAAUGUUUAUUUAGUUGUAGAUGAACACACAGUAUCUUCAUUUAUUUUUAUGUGGUGCUGAGGAUUGAACCCAGUGCCUCACACGUAGGAGGCAAACACUUUACCACUGAGCUACAGCCUCAGCCCCCUGUACUCUUUAUUUUAAAAACAAUUUUUCAAAUUUAGAAGUAUAUGUAGAUGGUAGACAUUGUGUGAUUUUAAUAGAGAGAAUGCUGAUGACUUGGUCUUCUGUCACCUAUGAAGGAAUAAUUUUCCAUAAUGAAAUGAUUCUCUGCAAUUCUAACCGAACUUUCAGGUGUGUAAACCACACACUUCCCGAGCCAUGCCCACCUUGGUAUGGGUUAGAAUAACAAUGGUAUGAGCAGUAUUCCACAAUAUCUGCUUUCAAUUUCCUUGAACAAAGUUCAGCCCUCUCAGGUUUGGCAAACUAGCCUGAUGAUCUUUAAGAUAAUGUCUGUGCCAUAGGAACUUCAACAUCUCCUCUCCCGGUGGUGACAUUAAUGACUUUGAUUAUUGCAGAUGCCAAAUUUUGCUACAUCACUAGCACCUACCCGAGGCACACAGCUGCCAAUGUCCAUGUUCAAGUCACUGAUUGCCGUGUGCUUGGUGCUAAGGGCAUUGAAGCCAUGCGUGGUGACGAGGUGCUCAAUGCAGUGGAGACCACCACCUGGCCACUACUGGCACCAGGUUGCUGAUGCUUCACAGUCUAAAGGUCCCAGGGAGGAUCAGAAGAGGAAGCAUUGUGGCUCCUAUUGGCGCAGCCUGCUGUAGGUGUGGGCUGGAGGGGCGUCUGAGUGACAGCUACACGCCACCCUCUCAUGGCCUUCUCCUUUCAGGCUGAGGCCAUUGAUGCUUUCUAGGAUGACUUCUUUCCUGGGAAGAGCCUUCAUCAUUGUGGUAACUUGUUCCAGGGCUACCAGAUUUGGGAAACCUCAUGAAGUAAACUGGAGCUAUGUUCAAAGGGACUCAGGUGGCCAGGGGAAAGGGAAUACAGGCCUUCAGGAUUUUUUUCCAGAGAUGAGGAACCAGGGCUUAAGAGGAGAUCCAAACACCCCAUCAGGGCCAGAACCUGGAGGAUCUCGUCUCAGAGAGGUACCCUGAGCCACCACCGGAAACCAGCGCCCUCCACUGUGGUCUCUGUGUAGGAAGUUCCUGUUGAACAUGGUUGGUCCAGCUGAUAGAGCCCGGGGGAGACAACAAACUCGGCACUGUCCAGCCCAGCACUGUCUUCCUCUCUCUUUCCCACACUCCUUUUUCUGCCAUGAUGGCCUUUCCAACCUGGGGCAGCCCACAUGUGGGUGAAGUGUUUACCCAGGGCUUCAGCUGGAUGUAUCCUUCUUGUUUUAUUUUUACCUUUGAUUGUAAAGGUCCUUAGGGCACAGACUUUUUACUGUUUGUUUAGUGCAAUCUUAUUUAUCGUAUAAGGUCAUGUAUACUUUUGACGUACACAUAAAUACUAAAAUAACCAAC